GAAAGGCCCCCUGGGCGAGCCCGAGAUGGCUCCAGCGCAAGGCCCGCAGCUCUGUUUCGUGGUGGGUCCCACGAGCCCGAUCAAGCCCAAGGGCAAGUCUUGCCUGGGCUGAAGCCCGAGUUUGGUGACGUCAGUGUGACGUCACUUCCGACAGGCUCCAACAGGAAUAUGCCACGUGGCGCGUCCCGGACCCUUCGAUGCAAUUUUUUCCAGAAAUCUGAC
rnacentral:lncRNA from 1 species